GCAAUUGUGUCCAAUUGCAUUGAUCUUAACAGAGGUUAUUCUCCUUUGUUCUAGAAGGCAAUUUUCCAUUCACAGAAUCUGAGGUGACACUAAAUUAGAAUGGGAGAAUUUAGAACUUUCAAGCUUUGAAGAGAUCAUUUGGUCCAACCCUUUCAUUUGCCAGAGAAGGCAGUUGAAGCUCCAAGAGGGUGUCCUAUAUCAUGGUCCCAUUUGGGACAGGAAGUGUCCUGUGUCACUGUUUUGUCCUCUUGUAGUCUGAUAUCAAAGGAUCAACC
rnacentral:lncRNA from 1 species